rnacentral:rRNA from 1 species
GAUGAACGCUGGCGGCGUGCUUAACACAUGCAAGUCGAACGAAGCAAUUUAACGGAAGUCUUCGGAUGGAAGUUAAAUUGACUGAGUGGCGGACGGGCGAGUAACGCGUGGGUAACCUGCCUCAUACAGGGGGAUAACAGUUAGAAAUGACUGCUAAUACCGCAUAAGCGCACAGGACCGCAUGGUCUGGUGUGAAAAACUCCGGUGGUAUGAGAUGAACCCGCGUCUGAUUAGCUAGUUGGUGGGGUAACGGCCUACCAAGGCGACGAUCAGUAGCCGACCUGAGAGGGUGACCGGCCACAUUGGGACUGAGACACGGCCCAAACUCCUACGGGAGGCAGCAGUGGGGAAUAUUGCACAAUGGGCGAAAGCCUGAUGCAGCGACGCCGCGUGAGCGAAGAAGUAUUUCGGUAUGUAAAGCUCUAUCAGCAGGGAAGAAAAAUGACGGUACCUGACUAAGAAGCACCGGCUAAAUACGUGCCAGCAGCCGCAGUAAAAC